rnacentral:rRNA from 1 species
GAUGAACGCUGGCGGCGUGCCUAAUACAUGCAAGUCGAGCGAACGGACGAGAAGCUUGCUUCUCUGAUGUUAGCGGCGGACGGGUGCGUAACACGUGGAUAACCUACCUAUAAGACUGGGAUAACUUCGGGAAACCGGAGCUAAUACCGGAUAAUAUUUUGAACCGCAUGGUUCAAAAGUGAAAGACGGUCUUGCUGUCACUUAUAGAUGGAUCCGCGCCGCAUUAGCUAGUUGGUAAGGUAACGGCUUACCAAGGCAACGAUGCAUAGCCGACCUGAGAGGGUGAUCGGCCACACUGUAACUGAGACACGGUCCAGACUCCUACGGGAGGCAGCAGUAGGGAAUCUUCCGCAAUGGGCGAAAGCCUGACGGAGCAACGCCGCGUGAGUGAUGAAGGUCUUCGGAUCGUAAAACUCUGUUAUUAGGGAAGAACAUAUGUGUAAGUAACUGUGCACAUCUUGACGGUACCUAAUCAGAAAGCCACGGCUAACUACGUG